AGAAAAGGUACUAUUCCAAGUCAGAAGGGCAACAAGCCUACUUCCAAGCCGGGAUAUGUACAAGAAGGCCAGACUGUAAUAGAAGAUGAAACUAUAUUGUCAACUUCUGAAAAGAAUGCUGGAGGUCCACAACAGUCUCGCAAGUACAUUAUACAAGCACUGGUGUUGUAUGACAGUUGGCCUCUAACUGAGAGUCAGUUGGCAUUUGUUCAGGCACUGAAAGAAGUGGAGAAAAAUGAAAUCAAAGGUAGAUAUGAUGGAUAACAUUAGAAUUAAGAAACAGGCUCUGAGGUUCAUCUCCCGGCUUCACAAUUUG
rnacentral:lncRNA from 1 species